rnacentral:tmRNA from 1 species
GGGGGUGAAUUGGAUUCGACGGGGCGUAAUUGGUUAAGAACUCAGCCUGUGGACGAUCACGAACCACAUAAAAAUUGUGAUAAACCAUAAUUGGCAAAUCGUCAAUGUUAGCCUAUAUGGAGAGUAAGCUCUCCAAGUCACCUGCUAAGACACUCUCCGUGAGUGCUUAAAGCUGACCCAGCGGCAUGGUUGGAAACAGGAAUGCCGUACCUUAAACCGAACCCUGAUUAGACAGGGACGUCUGGGGGCAGGCGGAAAAUAAAAUACCCACUAGGAACUACCUACCGUUUACAUAUGGCUGUGUAAACCUCUUAAUGGAUGCGGUUCGGACGCGGGAAUCGAAGCCCGCCACCUCCACCA